UAAUCUCACUUCUACCACUUUGUUGUUGUAGAAUGUGGACUUGGACGUCUGCCGUGUCACAACGGCUCGUCUUAAAUGCCUGAGUGUACCCCGCUUUGCGGCGUAUUCGGUGUGAUAAACAUUUCACCGGAGUUUGGUCUCUGACCGCGCUUUAGCAAUUGGUGGGCUCUAUGCUUUCCAACCGUCUUCAUAAGACAAUCUUUGACA
rnacentral:misc_RNA from 1 species